rnacentral:rRNA from 1 species
UACGUAGGGUGCGAGCGUUAAUCGGAAUACUGGGCGUAAAGCGUGCGCAGGCGGUUGUGCAAGACAGAUGUGAAAUCCCCGGGCUUAACCUGGGAACUGCAUUUGUGACUGCACGGCUAGAGUGUGUCAGAGGGGGGUAGAAUUCCACGUGUAGCAGUGAAAUGCGUAGAUAUGUGGAGGAAUACCGAUGGCGAAGGCAGCCCCCUGGGAUAACACUGACGCUCAUGCACGAAAGGCGUGGGGGAGCAAACAGG